AUUGAACGCUGGCGGCAGGCCUAACACAUGCAAGUCGAACGGUAACAGGAAACAGCUUGCUGUUUCGCUGACGAGUGGCGGGCGGGUGAGUAAUGUCUGUGAAACUGCCUGAUGGAGGGGGAUAACUCCUGGAAACGGUAGCUAAUACCGCAUAACGUCGCAAGACCAAAGAGGAGGACCUUCGGGCCUCUUGCCCUCGGAUGUGCCCAGAUGGGAUUAGCUAGUAGGUGGGGUAACGGCUCACCUAGGCGACGAUCCCUAGCUGGUCUGAGAGGAUGAACAGCCACACUGGAACUGAGACACGGUCCAGACUCCUACGGGAGGCAGCAGUGGGGAAUAUUGCACAAUGGGCGCAAGCCUGAUGCAGCCAUGCCGCGUGUAUGAAGAAGGCCUUCGGGUUGUAAAGUACUUUCAGCGGGGAGGAAGGGAGUAAAGUUAAUACCUUUACUCAUUGACGUUACCCGCAGAAGAAGCACCGGCUAACUCCGUG
rnacentral:rRNA from 1 species